GUAGCUCAGCUGGAUAGAGCAACGGCCUUCUAAGCCGUAGGUCCUGGGUUCGAAUCCCCGC
rnacentral:tRNA from 1 species